rnacentral:rRNA from 1 species
GAUGAACGCUGGCGGCGUGCCUAAUACAUGCAAGUCGAGCGAACAGACGAGGAGCUUGCUCCUCUGACGUUAGCGGCGGACGGGUGAGUAACACGUGGAUAACCUACCUAUAAGACUGGGAUAACUUCGGGAAACCGGAGCUAAUACCGGAUAAUAUAUUGAACCGCAUGGUUCAAUAGUGAAAGACGGUUUUGCUGUCACUUAUAGAUGGAUCCUCGCCGCAUUAGCUAGUUGGUAAGGUAACGGCUUACCAAGGCAACGAUGGGUAGCCGACCUGAGAGGGUGAUCGGCCACACUGGAACUGAGACACGGUCCAGACUCCUACGGGAGGCAGCAGUAGGGAAUCUUCCGCAAUGGGCGAAAGCCUGACGGAGCAACGCCGCGUGAGUGAUGAAGGUCUUCGGAUCGUAAAACUCUGUUAUUAGGGAAGAACAAAUGUGUAAGUAACUAUGCACGUCUUGACGGUACCUAAUCAGAAAGCCACGGCUAACUACGUG